UAACCAGGUUAGAUCCUAGCUGGAAGUCACUGCUAUCGGGGUCGACUUAAGACCAUGCGACGUCGAGAGGGUUCAGACCCUCGGACGGACUGCUCAGUAACACGUGGAUAACCUGACCUGUGGUGGAGCAUAACCCCGGGAAACUGGGGAUAAUACUCCAUAGACUAGGUAUUCUGGAAUGUCAUUUAGUCGAAAGUUCCGGCGCCUUAGGAUGGAUCUGCGGCCGAUUAGGUAGUUGUUGGGGUAAAGGCCCAACAAGCCUGUAAUCGGUACGGGUUGUGGGAGCAAGAGCCCGGAGAUGGAAUCUGAGACACGAUUCCAGGCCCUACGGGGCGCAGCAGGCGCGAAAACUUUACAAUGCAGGAAACUGUGAUACGGGGACCCCGAGUGCUCGUACACGCGAGCUGUCCAGGUGUGUCACACGCAUCUGAAGAAAGGGCCGGGCAAGACCGGUGCCAGCCGCCGCGGUAAUACCGACGGCUCGAGUGGUGACCACUAUAAUUGGGCUUAAA
rnacentral:rRNA from 1 species